GGUUAAGCGACUAAGCGUACACGGUGGAUGCCCUGGCAGUCAGAGGCGAUGAAGGGCGUGCUAAUCUGCGAUAAGCGCCGGUAAGGUGAUAUGAACCGUUAUAACCGGCGAUACCCGAAUGGGGAAACCCAGUGUGAUUCGUCACACUAUCAUUAACUGAAUCCAUAGGUUAAUGAGGCGAACCGGGGGAACUGAAACAUCUAAGUACCCCGAGGAAAAGAAAUCAACCGAGAUUCCCCCAGUAGCGGCGAGCGAACGGGGAGGAGCCCAGAGCCUGAAUCAGCAUGUGUGUUAGUGGAAGCGUCUGGAAAGGCGCGCGAUACAGGGUGACAGCCCCGUACACAAAAGCGCAUGUGCUGUGAGCUCGAUGAGUAGGGCGGGACACGUGGUAUCCUGUCUGAAUAUGGGGGGACCAUCCUCCAAGGCUAAAUACUCCUGACUGACCGAUAGUGAACCAGUACCGUGAGGGAAAGGCGAAAAGAACCCCGGCGAGGGGAGUGAAAAAGAACCUGAAACCGUGUACGUACAAGCAGUGGGAGCACCCUUCGGGGUGUGACUGCGUACCUUUUGUAUAAUGGGUCAGCGACUUAUAUUCUGUAGCAAGGUUAACCGUAUAGGGGAGCCGGAGGGAAACCGAGUCUUAAUUGGGCGUUAAGUUGCAGGGUAUAGACCCGAAACCCGGUGAUCUAGCCAUGGGCAGGUUGAAGGUUGGGUAACACUAACUGGAGGACCGAACCGACUAAUGUUGAAAAAUUAGCGGAUGACCUGUGGCUGGGGGUGAAAGGCCAAUCAAACCGGGAGAUAGCUGGUUCUCCCCGAAAGCUAUUUAGGUAGCGCCUCGUGAAUUCAUCUCCGGGGGUAGAGCACUGUUUCGGCUAGGGGGCCAUCCCGGCUUACCAACCCGAUGCAAACUGCGAAUACCGGAGAAUGUUAUCACGGGAGACACACGGCGGGUGCUAACGUCCGUCGUGAAGAGGGAAACAACCCAGACCGCCAGCUAAGGUCCCAAAGUCAUGGUUAAGUGGGAAACGAUGUGGGAAGGCCCAGACAGCCAGGAUGUUGGCUUAGAAGCAGCCAUCAUUUAAAGAAAGCGUAAUAGCUCACUGGUCGAGUCGGCCUGCGCGGAAGAUGUAACGGGGCUAAACCAUGCACCGAAGCUGCGGCAGCGAACGUAUCACCCAAGACAACUUUACGGAGUUGACGAUUGACGGAGCGAAGCGACGUCAAAGCGUUCAUUAAAGUCGAGUUGGCUUAGGGAUACGUUCGUUGGGUAGGGGAGCGUUCUGUAAGCCUGUGAAGGUGUGUCGUGAGGCAUGCUGGAGGUAUCAGAAGUGCGAAUGCUGACAUAAGUAACGAUAAAGCGGGUGAAAAGCCCGCUCGCCGGAAGACCAAGGGUUCCUGUCCAACGUUAAUCGGGGCAGGGUGAGUCGACCCCUAAGGCGAGGCCGAAAGGCGUAGUCGAUGGGAAACGGGUUAAUAUUCCCGUACUUGGUGUUACUGCGAAGGGGGGACGGAGAAGGCUAUGUUGGCCGGGCGACGGUUGUCCCGGUUUAAGCGUGUAGGUGUGUGUUCCAGGUAAAUCCGGUUCACUUUAACACUGAGGCGUGACGACGAGGCACUACGGUGCUGAAGCAACAAAUGCCCUGCUUCCAGGAAAAGCCUCUAAGCAUCAGGUAACAUCAAAUCGUACCCCAAACCGACACAGGUGGUCAGGUAGAGAAUACCAAGGCGCUUGAGAGAACUCGGGUGAAGGAACUAGGCAAAAUGGUGCCGUAACUUCGGGAGAAGGCACGCUGACACGUAGGUGAAGUGAUUUACUCAUGGAGCUGAAGUCAGUCGAAGAUACCAGCUGGCUGCAACUGUUUAUUAAAAACACAGCACUGUGCAAACACGAAAGUGGACGUAUACGGUGUGACGCCUGCCCGGUGCCGGAAGGUUAAUUGAUGGGGUCAGCGCAAGCGAAGCUCCUGAUCGAAGCCCCGGUAAACGGCGGCCGUAACUAUAACGGUCCUAAGGUAGCGAAAUUCCUUGUCGGGUAAGUUCCGACCUGCACGAAUGGCGUAAUGAUGGCCAGGCUGUCUCCACCCGAGACUCAGUGAAAUUGAACUCGCUGUGAAGAUGCAGUGUACCCGCGGCAAGACGGAAAGACCCCGUGAACCUUUACUAUAGCUUGACACUGAACAUUGAGCCUUGAUGUGUAGGAUAGGUGGGAGGCUUUGAAGUGUGGACGCCAGUCUGCAUGGAGCCGACCUUGAAAUACCACCCUUUAAUGUUUGAUGUUCUAACGUGGACCCGUAAUCCGGGUUGCGGACAGUGUCUGGUGGGUAGUUUGACUGGGGCGGUCUCCUCCUAAAGAGUAACGGAGGAGCACGAAGGUUGGCUAAUCCUGGUCGGACAUCAGGAGGUUAGUGCAAUGGCAUAAGCCAGCUUGACUGCGAGCGUGACGGCGCGAGCAGGUGCGAAAGCAGGUCAUAGUGAUCCGGUGGUUCUGAAUGGAAGGGCCAUCGCUCAACGGAUAAAAGGUACUCCGGGGAUAACAGGCUGAUACCGCCCAAGAGUUCAUAUCGACGGCGGUGUUUGGCACCUCGAUGUCGGCUCAUCACAUCCUGGGGCUGAAGUAGGUCCCAAGGGUAUGGCUGUUCGCCAUUUAAAGUGGUACGCGAGCUGGGUUUAGAACGUCGUGAGACAGUUCGGUCCCUAUCUGCCGUGGGCGCUGGAGAAUUGAGGGGGGCUGCUCCUAGUACGAGAGGACCGGAGUGGACGCAUCACUGGUGUUCGGGUUGUCAUGCCAAUGGCACUGCCCGGUAGCUAAAUGCGGAAGAGAUAAGUGCUGAAAGCAUCUAAGCACGAAACUUGCCCCGAGAUGAGUUCUCCCUGAGACUUAGAGUCUCCUGAAGGAACGUUGAAGACGACGACGUUGAUAGGCCGGGUGUGUAAGCGCAGCGAUGCGUUGAGCUAACCGGUACUAAUGAACCGUGAGGCUUAACCUU
rnacentral:rRNA from 1 species